UCCCUGUCGUGCAGUGGAUAGCACUUUGGACUUCCAAUCUAAAGGUCGUGGGUUCGAAUCCCACAUAGGAAG